rnacentral:rRNA from 1 species
CGUAACACGUAUGUAACCUACCUUAAUCUGGGGGGAUAGCCUCUCGAAAGAGAGAUUAACACCGCAUAACAUGUUUGAAUAGCAUUAUUUUAAACAUCAAAUAUUUAUAGGAUUAAGAUGGGCAUGCGGAACAUUAGCUAGUUGGUAAGGUAAUGGCUUACCAAGGCUACGAUGUUUAGGGGAUCUGAGAGGAUGACCCCCCACACUGGUACUGAGACACGGACCAG